GACGAACGCUGGCGGCGUGCUUAACACAUGCAAGUCGAACGAUGAAGCCCUUCGGGGUGGAUUAGUGGCGAACGGGUGAGUAACACGUGGGCAAUCUGCCCUUCACUCUGGGACAAGCCCUGGAAACGGGGUCUAAUACCGGAUAACACUCUGUCCCUCAUGGGGCGGGGUUAAAAGCUCCGGCGGUGAAGGAUGAGCCCGCGGGCCUAUCAGCUUGUUGGUGGGGGUAAUGGCCUACCAAGGCGACGACGGGUAGCCGGCCUGAGAGGGCGACCGGCCACACUGGGGACUUGAGACACGGCCCAGAACUCCUACGGGAAGGCAGCAGUGGGGGAAUAUUUGCACAAUUGGGCGAAAGCCUGAUGCAGCGACGCCGCGUGAGGGAUGACGGCCUUCGGGUUGUAAACCUCUUUCAGCAGGGAAGAAGCGCAAGUGACGGUACCUGCAGAAGAAGCACCGGCUAACUACGUGCCAGCAGCCGCGGUAAUACGUAGGGUGCGAGCGUUGUCCGGAAUUAUUGGGCGUAAAGAGCUCGUAGGCGGCUUGUCACGUCGGAUGUGAAAGCUCGGGGCUUAACCCCGAGUCUGCAUUCGAUACGGGCUAGCUAGAGUGUGGUAGGGGAGAUCGGAAUUCCUGGUGUAGCGGUGAAAUGCGCAGAUAUCAGGAGGAACACCGGUGGCGAAGGCGGAUCUCUGGGCCAUUACUGACGCUGAGGAGCGAAAGCGUGGGA
rnacentral:rRNA from 1 species